AGCUUAUCAAUGAUGUCCAAAAAUAAAUGUCUGAACAAAUGACUUUACUGUGAUUUCAGAUUUUUACUGAGGUAAGCU
ensembl:snoRNA